rnacentral:rRNA from 1 species
CGUAGGUGGCAAGCGUUGUCCGGAAUUAUUGGGCGUAAAGCGCGCGCAGGCGGUUCCUUAAGUCUGAUGUGAAGCCCCCGGCUCAACCGGGAAGGUCAUUGGAAACUGGGGAACUUGAGUGCAGAAGAGAAGAGCGGAAUUCCACGUGUAGCGGUGAAAUGCGUAGAGAUGUGGAGGAACACCAGUGGCGAAGGCGGCUCUUUGGUCUGUAACUGACGCUGAGGCGCGAAAGCGUGGGGAGCAAACAGGAUUAGAUACCCUGGUAGUCCACGCCGUAAACGAUGAGUGCUAAGUGUUAGAGGGUUUCCGCCCUUUAGUGCUGCAGCUAACGCAUUAAGCACUCCGCCUGGGGAGUACGGCCGCAAGGCUG